UGUGACCAUGAGUGGAUUAACUGAUGGAUUUGAUUUGAGUAGCAUGACAGCUAGAUUUUCUUGAAUAAUCUUAGCUCCUAAGGAUUAGAAAGAUAUAAUGUUAAAGCCAUAAAGUUAACAUCUUUUUUAGUAGCUUUCAUUAGGUAUUUUGAGGCAUUACCAAUAUCUUGUCUCUUCUUACUGUUUUGAAAAUUUUCAGUUGCACCCUUUCCACUACAUGAAGAAUUAUUUUGGCUAGUCAUGAAAAAGGGUCAGACUACUAGUUGAAUUUUUGUGUGCAAUCAGUGUCCAGUUUUUAGUUGCAUUAUAUUUCAACGUGCUACCCUGAACUUUUAGUAUCUUCAACAUCAAUUGUGUCCAUUAAUUUUUGUUCUGAAUCAACUCGGGACACAUCAACUUCAACUCUUAGUGUCCCCCGUAUAAACAUUCAUUGAGUACACAAUUUUACUUAGAAGUGGAAGCAACCAAUUAUUGAUCUAAAAUAGUAGCUUUACUUUGAUUGACAUCUACAAUCCUUUUUUUUCCAUAUAAUAUUUCUCUUGAUAUUUCUCAUUAUCGCUAGUAUCUUUUAAAGUAGUUUAUAAGAUAUCAUCAAUUUAUUUGUUAUUUCAAUUUCUUUUCAAAAUCGAACAACAAUUAAAUCAUAACCUAUUUUGCCCGUCAGAGUGACUUUUUGUGCGCCUCGAGGACUCCGGUGGGGAGGGGGGUGGGUCCUCGGGGCGCACGCCCCGAUUUUGAUCACUUAAAAGAUCACGUAGAGUUCUUGAAAUCAUAUGCUGGCUUAAGUGAGGAAGAGAUCUUUCGAAUUGUUUUAGUUUAUCCCAACAUGUUUAGUGCCAGCAGGAGAAGAAAAUUGCAUCCUCGAAUUGAUUUUCUAAAGCAAUGUGGACUGAGUUCACAUGACAUAUUCAGGUUCUUGAUAAAAGCUCCUUUAUUUCUAAGUCUGUCAUUUGAGGGGAAUCUCGCUUACAAGCUGGUUUUUUUUGGUGAAGAUUGGGUAUAAGAAGAAUACCAAGGAAUUGGCUAUGGCAAUGGGAGCUGUUACCAGGACUAGAUGCAAAAAUAUGCAAGAAGUUAUUGGCUGAGCAUUGGAUGUUGAGGCGAUGAAGAUGAUGGUGACGAGAAUAAAAUUGGCAAAGGAGUAGAGACAUUGCUAUGUUUCUUGAAUCCAUUUUCGUAUUCAGAUUUUGUUGCCGUGGAGAUGUUUGAGCAAAGUCCCAAAAGAAUUUUUGUUUGAUCACAGUGGGCUUGCUUGAAGUUAAAGGGGCAAAUAGAGAUGCACCAGGUCCAAAUGCAAGACUCUUGGCCACAAUAGUAGCAAUUAUUCCUAUUCUAUAUUCCAAUUAAAAAAAGAAAGAAAUGGAAUAAAAUUUCAGAAUUAGGGAUAUCUAGCUGCAGAAGAAGUACUUUGAAUCAAAAGACAAGUUGGAAUGUGUUGUAUGUAUUUUUUCUAUAUAUGAUGCCAUGUGAGGGUGUAGGGUGUCUUUGUUUCUGCAAAUAUAUUUAGUGGGGUUAAACUUGUA